rnacentral:rRNA from 1 species
GACGAACGCUGGCGGCGCGCUUAACACAUGCAAGUCGAGGAUUUGGGCGGACGGGGGAGUAAUGACUAGGAAUCUGCCUGGUCGUGGGGGAUAACGUCCGGAAACGGGAGCUAAUCCCGCAUACUAUCAUAUGAGACUCGGUCGGAGUAGCGAGUUGGUGGGGUAAAGGCCUACCAAUGCGACGAUCCGUAACUGGUCUGAGAGGAGGACCAGUCACACUGGAACUGAGAAACGGUCCAGACUCCUAAGGGAGGCAGCAGUGGGGAAUAUUGGACAAUGGGCGAAAGCCUGAUCCAGCCAUGCCGCGUGUGUGAAGAAGGUCUUCGGAUUGUAAAGUACUUUAAGUUGGGAGGCGUUACCAACAGAAUAAGCACCGGCUAACUUCGUGCCAGCCGCCGCGGUAAUUC